GGAAUUGAAAAAUAUUGUUAUCUAUUCUUUAAAUUCAUCUUUUACUAGAUAAAUUGAAGUAAAAUUUAUGAUUUCAAAAAUAUUAAAAUGAGAAUUUAAUUAAUUAUUUAGUGUUGGCUUGCCCGACAGUGGUGUCCGGCGCCAUCACGACCUUUAACGGAUUUUGGAUCGUGACACAUUGAGCUUCUGCGGCAGCACAAUUAUUGUGCGGUCCGCAUUCUUGAAAUUUUGGGCUUGGAACUUCGGGGCAUCUGCGGUCCGCAUAAAAACGAGUGCGGCCGCACUUCUGAUUGUGCGACAGCAUAAAAAUGAUGCGGUCCGCAAUCCUUGACUUUAAACUUGAAUCCAACUCUCUGAUUUUUCACUCUUGCGGACGGCAUAAUAGUGAGUGCGGCCGCACAAUUUUGGUGCGGUCCGCACUCCUUCAGCUUGCCCAAAUACUAUUUUUGAAUCUCCUCUCUGCGCCCCGCACUAGAAUUGUGCGGUGCGCACUACUGACCUUUUUGCCCUGUUUUGGUUCUUGUUCACUUUUGACUCCUUUAUGUGUUGAUUUUGACUUCUUUCCAAUUUUUCUGCAAGUAAGCACAUUUUGUUAGUUUCCGGGAAUACAUUUAAGUAUUUUUGAGCUAAAUCGCAGUUAAAAGAGAGCAAAUAAUCGGUCAAAAUAUCUACUUAUCAUGCAACCCUACCCCGAUAUCUAAAUUCAUUUCAAUACUAUUGCAGAGCGCAACCCAUUCCUAAUAUCAACACAUACACCUAAGCAACUCAACACAACCAAUAAUGGAAUCUCAACACGAAAGGAAAAUAAAGUGUACAGAACAUCAAUGAACUACCAAUACAAACGAAGGUAACCAAUACCUCGUAUCCAUAUUUCUCUACAAAUUACCAAUACAAGAAUAGCUAAAAAACUCACAAAAUUUGAAAUAAAGUGUAACAAGUAAUGUAAAGACAAUAAAGGCAAGUAACACAUGAAACAAUAAAGUUAUACAAUUAAUUCAGGUAGUAACAUAUAGUAGGUAAAUAGAUAUUGAGCGAGAAAUAAAUAAACCAAACAAGUGAAAAUUUAAAUAAUAGAUAACAAGGCAUGGAUAACAAGCAAGAUCAAGUAGCAACCAAAGCAUAUAACAAGAGACGAGUGAUCAAUUUAGUAGCAGUAAUUUGCAGAGCACAUAUUUCUCACAUUAUUCACGUGGUUGGUUGCAAACUGCACACUUGUUUUAGUGAGAUUAAAAUUCGACAAGUCGCCUUAUAAAACUAGUAAGGGUAGCCCGGGCUUUGCCCGGGCCCAACGUGAACAAAGCUUUGCUAUUAGAAAUUGAGGUAUAGUGACAAUAUCCGUAAGGAAUGAGCUUGUGUCCAAAAGAGAAAUAGAAAAUUAUAGAGUUACCACAGAAAUGUUACUCUUUAUAAGCCGUUUAUUUCUAAUAUUUUGUUAUUUCAACACAGUAAAAUGCUUUGGAUAUACAAACCAACAAAUACAGAAGCCAUAAUGCCAAAGUCAUAUGGUCUUCCAGCAGUACCUGCUGAUAUGGAUUUGUGCAAGAUAGCAACAGUUAGAAUUGCUAUCAACAAAGAUGAUAAACUAUGUCAAAUCAACUCUAGCAACAGUGAAAUAAAUGUAGCCAAUAUAUAAUUAGAAGACAUAAUUGUAAGAAUCAGUUUUUAGUCAAAACACUUCUGGAUCAUGUUGAUAAUUCAGAAGAAGCAAAAAAGAAAACACAUUUGAUGUAAGCAUGGAUUAAUUACUUUAAUGUGUAGGUAAACAUUAUGUUUAAGUAAGGUUUUGAUAGACCACCUGUACAUUUGAUGUGUAGCACAGAAUAUUAAGGUUCAACUGACGGUUGCACAAGAAAUAAAAUAUGAAAGAUAGUAGUUGUUAUUCUUCAUGACCAUACAGAUGUUAGAUGUAGCACAUGUUGCAUAGCAUAUAUGACAUUUUCGGUUUAGAGUACAAGGAAAAUGAAAUGGAAUAUACCAAUUCACCAGCUAUUAUGGUCAUAAAUGCAUCAGCAGACUGCCCGGUAAAUGUGAUCAUUGCAGCGUUGCUGUGAAUUAUUAGGGGUUAAUUUAGAGAUGAAUCAAAAAAUAUCAAAGCUACCCACAGUCUAACAGCAACAAUAGUUUUUUCUAUAUAAAGAGAAUUUACGACAAACAAAUAUCCAUUUUUACUAUUCAAUCAAAAAGAGAGAAACCUUAACAGGUUUAGAAUCUAGCAAGUUUUGACAUAUAAAAACGCAGCAAGGUUCAAUUUGUUGUUUAAAUAUGCAAUUCCAUUUUAUCUGUUGUACAUAGUUUCUAUAACUUUUCUGAUUAGAAUGUUAAAAGAUUGAUUUCGUGAAUAACACUUUACCGUAAACUGUUGAAGGCUUUUUUUCUUUGAUGGGCUAUACAUGCAUUUUAAUUUGCUGCAAGUGCUUUGUGUUUGUUGAGGAAUGUCAUAUUUGUGCAGUGCUGUUAACCCCGAAAACAAUUUAGCUACAAGUUCACAUGUUUUCCUCUAAAGUUCACAUGUUUUAGCACCAGCAGGGAUGUCAGUGAUUAUAAUUUUUUAUAAGGACUGUGGCAAUUACCAGACGUCAGUGAAUAUAAUAGCACAACAAUUUUCUCCUUCAGAUGCUUCUGCAAUCAACUUUUCCACCAAGUAUUCCUCAUUUGUAUCUUCUGUAUAUGUUUGUUCGUUCGGUCAGAAGACAUUCCUUCACAAACUUAUUACUGUGAGACAUCUGCAUUUCAAAUAGUUCACAAAAAUCAAGCAAAAAAUUACCUCAGUAGACUUUAAGCAGGAGCGUUUGCUGUUUAUUCUACAACAUUGGAAAGGUAGAUGAAUUCAAUACAGGGCUAUGACAAAGUUAUUCCAUGUAAAACACACUAUCAUUUAAAAAGAUGAAUAAAUGGGUGUUUGGAUCAUUCUCGUCGGGUGAGUCCAGGGCAGCGGUUAAAGUGAAAGACUGAAGCUAAAGUUGUAAAACUUUCAAAUGACAACAUAUAUGAAAGUAAUAGGUACCAUAAUUAGACUGUUAUUUCCCUAAUGUCUUAAACUUACACACCAAAUUUAAUAAUGCAUGAAUACUUUGUCAAAAUAUAGUAUAUCUUUUAUUCUACUGGAAACUAUCAGAAUGUUGAGAAAUACAGUUGAGGCAAGCAUGGAAAAAGUUGUAAAUCUGUGGCAGAAUCACAAAGAGCAGUAAAUCAGAAGUAAAUCAGAAUCACAAAGAGCAGUAGAACACUAUCAUAUGUUCUAACUAUUUGUACUUAGUAAUCAUGCCUAUGGGGAUUUUUACGCAACAUGUUCUUCAAAUGUUUAAGCAAAAAUGCAGCUUUGCUUUUAACACUGUUUCAUUGACGCUUUCUGUAUCAACGAAAUGUGCAAAGUCUCAUGAAACCACAAUCUCAUAGCUUAACCAUUCACAGUGAGAAACCGCUGUUCUACAUGCGAGUUCCCAUCACUCAUCAGUGUAAUUUUCCCUCCAUGAGUAACCAAGUAAUUUGUAAAACUUAUGAGCUCCAAGAAAAAUUAGUUGCCAAAAUGUAGAAGGCAAAGCUUCAAAAACAUGCAACCAGCAGAUCUCAAAGUGCACGACAAAAAUGUUACAAGGAAAAAGUACUAAUAUAUUUAACUGCCCCAAAAUUUAUACUGUAAGUUUUUCUUUCCUAUUCAAGUAAUCAAGUUCAUCAUACUAUCUCUAAAUAAAAUAAUUAAUGUUAACUAGUGAUGGCAAAAUGGUUCAGCCAUAUAAUUAAAAGAGCAAAGAUGUUAAAAUGAGUAUACGUGAAAGCUAAUUAAAUCAAGUCGUAGCAAGUUGAAGCCAUAAAAGACAUUUCAGAAACGCAGUCGAGGGAUACCAUCAUAUUAGUACAUAAAUCCUCGUCGUCCCAGUCUUACUGUAAAUUUCCUAUUGAGUGUACUUGAAUAUCUUACACACAAGAAAUUUAUUUCAAGAGUAUGCCAUAUACAAGUUAUCCAGCUGUAACUUGCCAGAAAUUGCAAGGAUAUUUGUCAAACACCUAGAGAACAAAAGCAGUUGAUACUCACGAGAAAUACAAAUAAAGAUGAAUAAAAGAGGGGCUAGAAGAGAAUACCUGACAGAGGAAAAACCAUUGAAAUACAAAAUUAAGAACAUGAGCACGGAGAGAGAGCAAGUCUUCU
rnacentral:lncRNA from 1 species